UAUGAGUCACUGCGGAUGGAACUCUUGUUUGGAAAGUAUUAGCAUGGGAGUUCCCAUAGCAUCUUGGCCUGUCCAUGUUGACCAGCCUUAUAACAGAGUGUUCAUAACAAACGUGUUGAAGAUUGGAAUCUCCGUGUGGAAAUGGAGUCGCAGAGAGGAAACAGUACCAGCUGCAGCAAUUGAGAAAGCUGUCAAGACGUUGAUGGGUACGCCAGAAG
rnacentral:misc_RNA from 1 species